AACGCUGGCGGCGUGCCUAAUACAUGCAAGUCGAACGGUCUUUUCUAUGGAAGCUUGCUUCCACUGAGAAGAUAGUGGCGAACGGGUGAGUAACACGUGGGUAACCUGCCCAUAAGAGGGGGGAUAACAUCCGGAAACGGGUGCUAAUACCGCAUAGUUUUCUUGAUCGCAUGAUCGGGAAAGGAAAGACGGCCUUUGUGCUGUCGCUUAUGGAUGGACCCGCGGCGUAUUAGUUAGUUGGUGAGGUAACGGCUCACCAAGACGAUGAUACGUAGCCGACCUGAGAGGGUGAUCGGCCACACUGGGACUGAGACACGGCCCAAACUCCUACGGGAGGCAGCAGUAGGGAAUCUUCCGCAAUGGACGAAAGUCUGACGGAGCAACGCCGCGUGAGUGAAAGAAGGUUUUCGGAUCGUAAAACUCUGUUGUCAGAGAAGAACAAGUUGGAGAGUAACUGCUCCAGCCUUGACGGUAUCUGACCAGAAAGCCACGGCUAACUACGUGCCAGCCGCCGC
rnacentral:rRNA from 1 species